rnacentral:lncRNA from 1 species
CCAGACCUCCCCCUCCCUCGCCUUUACCACCUAACCCUCGUGCCCCUUGGCCUCCCUCGCCUCAACCUCCCAGACCUCCGCUUCCCUCACCUCAACCUCCGUCGCCACCAGAUUCCCCGACGGUGUCCCCAAUCACGCAGAGUACGAAUCAAGAAAAAACCAUGAGUACGGCGGCGAUCACCGGCAUCGCAGUCUCCCUCGUAGUGCUCGCUGCUUUGUUGACAGCAACAGGUUGGUGCGCACAGUCUUAAUUUUUUGUUCCGUUAUAACAUAUCCCCUCUUCUUAAACAGCUGCAUUCCAUUUUCUGUGGGGUAGUUCUUGUAAGUGAACUAAUUCUUCAGCUAAUCGUGCACACCAAAUUUAACGUCGUACGCAAACUGGUGGGUUACCUGCUGGGGACGUACGUGUAGG